AUUGAACGCUGGCGGCAUGCCUUACACAUGCAAGUCGAACGGUAACAGGUCUUCGGAUGCUGACGAGUGGCGAACGGGUGAGUAAUACAUCGGAACGUGCCCGAUCGUGGGGGAUAACGGAGCGAAAGCUUUGCUAAUACCGCAUACGAUCCACGGAUGAAAGCAGGGGACCGCAAGGCCUUGCGCGGAAGGAGCGGCCGAUGGCAGAUUAGGUAGUUGGUGGGAUAAAAGCUUACCAGGCCGACGAUCUGUAGCUGGUCUAAGAGGACGACCAGCCAAACUGGGACUGAGACACGGCCCAGACGCCUACGGGAGGCAGCAGUGGGGAAUUUUGGACAAUGGGCGAAAGCCUGAUCCAGCCAUGCCGCGUGCAGGAUGAAGGCCUUCGGGUUGUAAACUGCUUUUGUACGGAACGAAAAGCCUCUUUCUAAUAAAGAGAGGUCAUGACGGUACCGUAAGAAUAAGCACCGGCUAACUACGUGCCAGCCGCCGCAGUAACAC
rnacentral:rRNA from 1 species